rnacentral:rRNA from 1 species
AUACGGAGGGUGCGAACGUUAAUCGGAAUUACUGGGCGUAAAGCGCACGUAGGCGGUUUGUUAAGUGGGAUGUGAAAGCCCCGGGCUCAACCUGGGAAUUGCAUUCCAAACUGGCAGACUAGAGUGCAGUAGAGGGAGGUAGAAUUUCCUGUGUAGCGGUGAAAUGCGUAGAUAUAGGAAGGAAUACCAGUGGCGAAGGCGGCCUCCUGGACUGACACUGACGCUGAGGUGCGAAAGCGUGGGGAGCAAACAGGAUUAGAAACCCCAGUAGUCC